CUGGAAGACUGCAAGACAUGGUUCAUGGACGCAACUUUCUAUUUUGUUGAUGAACCCAUCAAACAGCUCUUCACGAUCAAUGGGUUUAUCAAGAACGACAAGAACGAAAUAAAACAAGUUCCCCUACUGUUCUGUUGCAUGACCAGGAGAAGAGCAGCUGACUAUAGCGCUGUCUUCGAGAAGAUAAAGGAAAUUAUCCCCCUUCCUAGAGUCCAGCGGAUCGUGACCGAUUUCGAACGCGC